rnacentral:lncRNA from 1 species
AGAAUGCUACUACUAAUAGCAGUGUUCUAGAUUUUCAUCCACCAUCAUGGAUAAAGCUCUCCGUCAUGUGGAUGGAAUCACUGCGGUAGGAGGAUUCCUGAGGCAUUACCUGGAUAGUCUCAUCUGGCUGGACAUGCAGGAGAACUGGGAGACUGCCGAGACUGCCACGUGGGUUUUGGAGGCUGAGAAGUCCAAGACUGAGGGGCUGGCAUCUGACGAGGGCCUUCUUGCUGCUUCAUUCCACGGCAAAAUGGCAAAGAGAAGAUGAGAAGAAAGGCUCAAAGGGACGGUGGGACUUGACUGAGGACCCAGCACCUCCUGGACCUGAAUCAAGGCCCUCUGUCCCGCUGCUUUUGUUGUUGUUUACCCUGCAACUUCACAGCCCUUCAGAAGGCCCUGGACAUCAUGUGCAAGCUCCGUGGAUGGCCUGAGAUUCAUCCUUCCAAGUUGUUUUCUGACUGAGAGGCAACAUUUUAAAUUGUGAUCCCCCCUUACCCCACCACACACACUGAAACAAAAGUUUCAAGAAGUCAUUACCACACAAUGACUCAGAUAUGUUCUAGUCUAGUCUGUCUAUUCCAUUCCAUUCCAGUCUCUUUCCAAACGAAAAUAAAAGGAAGGAAAUGCUGCAUGCGACUUGGUAAGUUAAUUUCAGGACACCUUGGGACUGCUUCCUGCUGCAUGAGGCAUCAGCACACAGCAGGGGAUAUUUUGCAUUCCUGUGUGCACCGUGGGUUAGACAGGCUGCUUGGCCCUAAGUGGAGAAUGGAACUCCAGUAGAAAGGCUGAGAUGCACUGCAAGUAACCACUGCAGAAAGGAGAGGAUGCCCACAGGCAGGCUGAAGUGGACCCGUGUGGAAGGAACACUUCAAGACCACUGGCCAAGAGACUUCCUUCAUUUUUAUCCCUUCCUGUUUUUCGCCUGUGCUGAGGAUUCACCACCAGUGUGGGGAGCCUCUGACUGUAAAAGGAAAGCUGACUCUGGCUCCUUCGUGUUUUCUGUUAAGUUGGGGCCUAAGUUUUUCUGCCAGCCUUUGCGGAGGAAAUGCAGCUUCCCUGGCACACUGCCCGGUCAAGGGACGUUGAAUCCAUUGCAAUCAGCAGUUGAAGAUCCACACUACAGGCCAUGUUCUUAAAAUAAGUGGCUCCAGGACUUCCAAGAGGCAGAAGGGGCUUCAGCUGGCCAUGGGCAGGAUCCAAGUGGAGCUUCAUCCCUGCAGAGCAAUGCCUGGCUCUCAGCGGAGGCAGUCUGGAGCAGGGCUUCUACCCUUUUCAGCUCAUAGAUUACUUUGGAAUCUGAUGAACACUGGGAGCCUUCUCCUUAGAAGAACAUACAUAUGCACGAGAAUGAGACAAUUACAUAACAUUCCUUGGGUUUCACAGAUGCUGAAGCCAAUGACUUGCUUGAAGCCUGGAAGAGGGUGUUGACCUGGAGAAUCCUAAAGGCCAAAAUUUAGAGAAAAUGGUGCCAGUAAAUGAAUUCACAAGGAGAAAUGCUUCCUUGCCAACUCACUUCUCCAGAUUAUUGAGUGCAUCUAUCUGUUUGCUUUUGGCUUCACGCAAUUGGCCCUCUUCAGUUCCGUACUCUUUCCUAAAUACCUUGCAAGUUUUCCUCUUCUCUCAUGCCAUUUAUAAUAUGCUGACGCCUGAUUAGAGGAAGGAAGGACUCAGCUGCACUUGCACUGGGGGAAGGGCCACUUACAGGAAGCCUACCUGGGGCUGAGCUGGGUCUCACUGCCUCCUAGACCUAAGGGCCCCAGCUUUUCCCUCAUCUCUUGUUGCAGCCACCACUUGUUCUAGAUCUGCAUCCAUAUCUGUAAAAUGGGGGUGAUAAUACCUUCCCAUAAAGUCACUGUGAGGAUUAAAUGUCCGGCA